rnacentral:rRNA from 1 species
AGCAGUAGCCGCGGGAAUACGUAGGGUGCGAGCGUUAAUCGGAAUUACUGGGCGUAAAGCGUGCGCAGGCGGUGAUGUAAGACAGUUGUGAAAUCCCCGGGCUCAACCUGGGAACUGCAUCUGUGACUGCAUCGCUGGAGUGCGGCAGAGGGGGAUGGAAUUCCGCGUGUAGCAGUGAAAUGCGUAGAUAUGCGGAGGAACACCGAUGGCGAAGGCAAUCCCCUGGGCCUGCACUGACGCUCAUGCACGAAAGCGUGGGGAGCAAACAGGAUUAGAUACCCCCGUAGUCCCUGUCUCUUAUAA